GUCCCAUAGCUCAGUGGCAGAGCAUUGGCUUUGCACGCUGAAGGUCCCAGGUUCAAAUCCUGCCAUCUCCA